rnacentral:rRNA from 1 species
GAUGAACGCUAGCGGCAGGCUUAAUACAUGCAAGUCGAGGGGUAGCAAGAUUGUAGCAAUACAAUUGUUGACGACCGGCAAACGGGUGCGGAACACGUACACAACCUUCCUACAAGUGGGGAAUAGCCCAGAGAAAUUUGGAUUAAUACCCCGUAACAUAGCGAUGUGGCAUCACAUUGCUAUUAUAGCUUCGGCGCUUGUUGAUGGGUGUGCGGCUGAUUAGAUAGUUGGCGGGGUAACGGCCCACCAAGUCUACGAUCAGUAGCUGAUGUGAGAGCAUGAUCAGCCACACGGGCACUGAGACACGGGCCCGACUCCUACGGGAGGCAGCAGUAAGGAAUGUUGGACAAUGGACGCAAGUCUGAUCCAGCCAUGCCGCGUGAAGGAUUAAGGUCCUCUGGAUUGUAAACUUCUUUUAUAAGGGACGAAAAAAGGUCUUUCUAGAUCGUCUAACGGUACCUUAUGAAUAAGCACCGGCUAACUCCGUGCCAGCCGCCGCGGUAACAC